rnacentral:tRNA from 1 species
UGGGCGGAUAGAUCAGCUCGGAAGAUCGCCUGCUUUGCAAGCAGGAAGCCCCGGGUUCAAAUCCCGGUCCGUCCAUC